GCGACCGUGGUGUAGUGGUUAGCAUUAACGCCUUCCAUCAGGAAAUGAAAAAGCGUUAGAGAGGGGUUCGAUUCCCCUCGGUCGCA
rnacentral:tRNA from 1 species